GCAGUCAUUGCGCAGGCACUUUGGUGACUCUAGAUAACCUCUGGCCGAUCGCACAGUCGGAUGUCUGCCCUAUCAAAUUUCGAUGUUACUUUCUGUGCCUACCAUGGUAACAGGGAAUCAGGGUUCGAUUCCGGAGAGGAAGCCUGAGAAACGGCUAGCACAUUCAAGGAAGGCAGCAAGCCCGCAAAUUACUGACUCCCGACUCGGGGAGUUAGUGAC